UACGGGGGGGGCAAGCGUUGUUCGGAAUUACUGGGCGUAAAGGGCUCGUAGGCGGCCAACUAAGUCGGAUGUGAAAUCCCCAGGCUUAACCUGGGAACUGCAUCCGAUACUGGAUGGCUUGAAUUCGGGAGAGGGAUGCAGAAUUCCAGGUGUAGCGGUGAAAUGCGUAGAUAUCUGGAGGAAUACCGGUGGCGAAGGCGGCAUCCUGGACCGGCAUUGACGCUGAGGAGCGACAGCGUGGGGAGCAAACAGG
rnacentral:rRNA from 1 species